AUUGAACGCUGGCGGCAUGCUUUACACAUGCAAGUCGAACGGCAGCGCGGGCUUCGGCCUGGCGGCGAGUGGCGAACGGGUGAGUAAUACAUCGGAACGUGCCCAGUAGUGGGGGAUAGCUCGGCGAAAGCCGGAUUAAUACCGCAUACGACCUGAGGGUGAAAGCGGGGGAUCUUCGGACCUCUCGCUAUUUGAGCGGCCGAUGGCAGAUUAGCUAGUUGGUGGGGUAAAGGCCUACCAAGGCGACGAUCUGUAGCUGGUCUGAGAGGACGACCAGCCACACUGGGACUGAGACACGGCCCAGACUCCUACGGGAGGCAGCAGUGGGGAAUUUUGGACAAUGGGCGAAAGCCUGAUCCAGCAAUGCCGCGUGUGUGAUGAAGGCCUUCGGGUUGUAAAGCACUUUUGGCGGGAACGAAAAGGACUGUGCCAAUACCACGGUUCGAUGACGGUACCCGCAGAAUAAGCACCGGCUAACUACGUG
rnacentral:rRNA from 1 species